rnacentral:rRNA from 1 species
AGCGGCGGACGGGUGAGUAAUGCCUGGGAAUAUGCCCUGAUGUGGGGGAUAACUAUUGGAAACGAUAGCUAAUACCGCAUAAUCUCUUCGGAGCAAAGAGGGGGACCUUCGGGCCUCUCGCGUCAGGAUUAGCCCAGGUGGGAUUAGCUUGUUGGUGAGGUAAUGGCUCACCAAGGCAACGAUCCCUAGCUGGUCUGAGAGGAUGAUCAGCCACACUGGAACUGAGACACGGUCCAGACUCCUACGGGAGGCAGCAGUGGGGAAUAUUGCACAAUGGGGGAAACCCUGAUGCAGCCAUGCCGCGUGUGUGAAGAAGGCCUUCGGGUUGUAAAGCACUUUCAGUAGGGAGGAAGGUAGCGUAGUUAACACCUGCACUAUUUGACGUUACCUACAGAAGAAGCACCGGCUAACUCCGUGCCAGCAGCCGCGGUAAUACGGAGGGUGCGAGCGUUAAUCGGAAUUAUUGGGCGUAAAGCGCAUGCAGGCGGCCUGUUAAGUCAGAUGUGAAAGCCCGGGGCUUAACCUCGGAAUUGCAUUUGAAACUGGCAGG